GAGCUUAGUACAGGUGUUGCAUGGCUGUCGUCAGCUCGUGUCGUGAGAUGUUCGGUUAAGUCCGCUAACGAGCGCAACCCUCGUCGUAUGUUAUAUGUGUCAUACGAGACUGCCGGUAAAAAGACCGGAGGAAGGUGAGGAUGAUGUCAAGUCAGCAUGACCUUUAUAUCCAGGGCUACACACACGCUACAAUGGUCUGUACAAUGGGUAGCCAAGCCGCGAGGCGGAGCCAAUCCUGAAAGCAGGCCUCAGUUCAGAUUGCAGUCUGCAACUCGACUGCAUGAAGCCGGAGUUGCUAGUAACCGCAGGUCAGCAAUACUGCGGUGAAUACGUUCCCGGGUCUU
rnacentral:rRNA from 1 species